rnacentral:rRNA from 1 species
GUGGGGAAUUUUGGACAAUGGGCGCAAGCCUGAUCCAGCAAUGCCGCGUGCAGGAAGAAGGCCUUCGGGUUGUAAACUGCUUUUGUACGGAACGAAACGGUCCGGGUUAAUACCCUGGGCUAAUGACGGUACCGUAAGAAUAAGCACCGGCUAACUACGUGCCAGCAGCCGCGGUAAUACGUAGGGUGCAAGCGUUAAUCGGAAUUACUGGGCGUAAAGCGUGCGCAGGCGGGUUUGUAAGACAGGCGUGAAAUCCCCGGGCUCAACCUGGGAAUUGCGCUUGUGACUGCAAGGCUGGAGUGCGGCAGAGGGGGAUGGAAUUCCGCGUGUAGCAGUGAAAUGCGUAGAUAUGCGGAGGAACACCGAUGGCGAAGGCAAUCCCCUGGGCCUGCACUGACGCUCAUGCACGAAAGCGUGGGGAGCAAACAGGAUUAGAAACCCGGGUAGUCC